rnacentral:rRNA from 1 species
UGGGGAAUAUUGCACAAUGGGCGCAAGCCUGAUGCAGCCAUGCCGCGUGUAUGAAGAAGGCCUUCGGGUUGUAAAGUACUUUCAGCGGGGAGGAAGGUGUUGAGGCUAAUAACCUCAGCAAUUGACGUUACCCGCAGAAGAAGCACCGGCUAACUCCGUGCCAGCAGCCGCGGUAAUACGGAGGGUGCAAGCGUUAAUCGGAAUUACUGGGCGUAAAGCGCACGCAGGCGGUCUGUCAAGUCGGAUGUGAAAUCCCCGGGCUCAACCUGGGAACUGCAUUCGAAACUGGCAGGCUAGAGUCUUGUAGAGGGGGGUAGAAUUCCAGGUGUAGCGGUGAAAUGCGUAGAGAUCUGGAGGAAUACCGGUGGCGAAGGCGGCCCCCUGGACAAAGACUGACGCUCAGGUGCGAAGGCGUGGGGAGCAAACA